AUCUUUUGUUAUCGCUGCCUCUCGAAAACCUAGCAAGCCGCUCUUCUCAACUUCACCAUGGGCAAAUCCAUCGACAAAGGGCUGAAAUUACUGUCUCUGAAGGGUAGCGAUGCAGCCAUUCCAAAAAGCUGCAACGUUGGGAGAAUUAGGGUUAUGGGAUAUGACACUGGGCUUCAUCGUAAUGAUGUCGUAUAAGAGCGUUGAGAAAACAUUUCUCUUCAUGUGGAGAGAUCACUGAUGUUUAUAUUUCCAAAAACUACAAUUACCAUACUCUCUGGAAGUUGCGUGGCUUCUUCUUCCUCCAGUUAUUUCUCUGCCAGCUCUUUUUAAAUGCUAAUUGUACUCUAAAGUGUUUUUGUUUUUGGUUUCACAGAUGUGGUCAUAUUUAUUUUCUGGGAGAAGGCGCGGUAGAUAAGGCGUUGCAACUUAACGGAAGUGACGUGGGAGGAUGGAAUGUCACUGUUGAAGCUCAUCCGUUUCCGACAUAUGCAAACGAUUCCGCUAUUUUAAAGGUUGAAGGAUAUGACACUUCCCUUAGGGAGAAUGAGAUCAAGACACAUUUGACUCAACUUUUCUCUCCAUAUGGAAAGAUCUCGAGUGUCUUUUUUGGCAAUGGGUUAGCGAGUGGCCUCUUCCUCCCGUUUUUCUCAACUUUCCAAGUCAUUAAAUGACUAAAAAGUUAUGUGUCUUUGUUGAUAUUUUCAGCUCUGCUACAGUGUCAGUUCGUGGAGAGGACGUAGCAGUGAAGGCGCCCCAACUUAAUGGGAGUGACAUUGGGGGACGCAAACUAACUGUUCUGCUUCUUAAUGGUGGAAUAUCGACUGUCCACGAACGUCGCAAAUACGGCCAUCACUGUCCUUGUCGUCACCUAGGUAAGAAGGCAAAUACGACUGCAGAGUAGAAAGCUCUCUCUCUUAGGACAAAGUCAAAGCUCUUUUGGUGUUUUUAACUUUGUAAUACAAAUGCAACCUUUCUCGAUGUUUAAAGUAAAGCUCACUAAUCAUAUUAUCCGCCUUUAUUAUUACCCAAGAGUAUCAUUAUUACAUUUCUUAAUCCCAUUAUCGUUGAUGGACAUACAAAAUCUAGUUGACUUUCUUGUUAAUAAGCUCCUUGAACAUGUUAUCGUUAAUAAAUCUAAACUUA